GCGAAGAACCUUACCAAGGCUUGACAUGUUCUCGAUCGCCGUAGAGAUACGGUUUCCCCUUUGGGGCGGGUUCACAGGUGGUGCAUGGUUGUCGUCAGCUCGUGUCGUGAGAUGUUGGGUUAAGUCCCGCAACGAGCGCAACCCUCGUUCCAUGUUGCCAGCACGUAAUGGUGGGGACUCAUGGGAGACUGCCGGGGUCAACUCGGAGGAAGGUGAGGACGACGUCAAAUCAUCAUGCCCCUUAUGUCUUGGGCUUCACGCAUGCUACAAUGGCCGGUACAAUGGGKUGCGAUACUGUGAGGUGGAGCUAAUCCCAAAAAGCCGKUCUCAGUUCGGAUUGGGGUCUGCAACUCGACCCCAUGAAGUCGGAGUCGCUAGUAAUC
rnacentral:rRNA from 1 species